UUUCCGUAGGUGAACCUGCGGAAGGAUCAUUCAUAAUAAAGUGUUUUAUGGCACUUUUUAAAAAUCCAUAUCCACCUUGUGUGCAAUGUUAGAUCUCGUCAAUCUUGGCGAGAUUUUUAUACAUCAACUCAUUCUUUAACUAAUUUGUCUGAAAAAUAUUAUGAAUACUUAAUUCAAAAUACAACUUUCAACAACGGAUCUCUUGGCUCUCGCAUCAAUGAAGAACGCAGC
rnacentral:misc_RNA from 1 species